CGCCGCCGUGUAUGACGAUCACCAGUGUAUCUUGUGAGCCUUUCCGCUGGAUUUCUUCGAACCGCGGCGAAAGAACAACACGAAUAUACACGGGGAGGCGGCGUUCGACUCGGAUCCACACAAAGAACCUCCCUCCGACGAUCACCCGCCGGUUUUCUCUGCGUUGCUGCUGCGUAUCUUCUUCCGAUGGUUGUUUGAAGGAUCGCUCGACGUCUCGAGUCUAAAAAAAGUACCUGUUCGUUUGGAGAGGAUACCAUAGGAGUUUAGAGAGGAAAUAGGCGUACAGAAUCAGGUGGAUUUACGAAACGGAAUGUAAAGAUCUACAGUAUAUAUAGAUCUACUGAUCCUCAAAGUAUUCUGAUUUGUCCGUAAC